AUCUUGUGUUUGCUUCCCUGUCCCUAUUCAUUUACGUACUUAUCUUCACUAGUGAUCGAAGCAACCAAGCGAAUGUCACAAACCUGACACUUUCUGUUGUACCAAAGUCCUCGUUGAUUUUGUGCAUCAACAAUUUGUUUGAUUGUUUUUUUGUGAGUCUAUGUUUGAAACAUUGAAGACAAUGUUUGAUUUAAGUGUGGGGGGGGGGGGUAAACAAAGUGCUUUUCAUUGAAUUUCAUUGGUUUUUAUCACCUAUCCCCUCUAGAGUUGUUUCUCAUUGUUUUAAAGUGUUUUUAGUGUGUUUUGAAGUGUUUUAGUGUGUUUAGAAAGAAAAAUACAAAAAUUUGAAAAAAUUCGAAAAAGUUUUGAAAAACAAACCAAAAAGAGUCGUUUUUGUGUGUUUGUGUCUUAGGGUACCUUCCAACACAAUGAUGAGGAUUUGGUUUUUAAUUGCAUGACUGUUAAAGAAAGUUACAAACAUGGGAGGAAGUUUGAUAUGCCUUUGGUUUAUGCUUGGUUGUAGUUGACGCUUACGAAUUCACAUGUAAUCACAAAGGAAAAAAUCAGUUUUUGUAACAUGCUUGAAGGAAGAAGCUCAAACAAACGCUACAUCCUUGAGAGACUUGAGCCUAAACCUUGUUUGAAGAGUUAUUAAUCUGUGAUUUCUUGUUUUCUAAAGUCUUUGCAUGAUCUCAUUAUUCUUUGCUUGGUUGCUACUUAGAAUUCGUUUUCAUCAUUAUAGUUCCAAAUACUAGAACUCAUGCCUGUUUCAUUCAAAGCUUAAAAUUGAGUGCAUAACAUAUAACAAGAUGAAGUUGUUUAGUAGUUACCACCAAAGCCAAAAAGCCUUCAUCCCAUGCAUUAGUUUUGUAGGUUUAACCCCUUUGAGCCUUAUUGAACCUAUUUUCUUUGUUAGCCACAUUAUCCCUACCUAGCCUAGAAUAGGACUAUCCAUACCCUUGUUCUUGAAGUAUAGUGGAGCAUGACUUAGAAGGAAUUCCUUUUGAACGACAUUAUUGCAGAAAACAAGUGUGGGGGAAGGGUUUUCAAAGUGUGUAUUUUGUGUGCCAAAGAAAUAGCACACGGUUUGAAAAGAAAAAAAAACGUAGAAAAAGAAAAAGAAAAGAAAAAAUGUGUAGAAAAGAAAGGAAAAGAGUUGAAAAUAAGUGAGAAUUAACUCACAAGUGUUGAUUAUUGAAGAAAGGAUCCAAAAGUUUGAAUUCGGUCCUAAGUGUUUUGUGAAUCUUCCCUUUGUGUUUAAAGUGGAUUCUUGCAUUCAAAAGUGAAUUCAAAGUGUCAAUUUCAUUACUUUCCUUACUAUUGCUUUAAGAAUGUUUGUUUAUGUUUACCUUUCUUUAUUAGCCAAUACCCUUGCCCCGUUACAACCCUUAGAAUUCUAUCUUAGGUGUUAUGUGUUUCAAUCUAUGGAGUUUGAAAUUGGUAUGCACAUAUGGAAUCCCUGGUUCUCGCUUCUAAGUAGUAGCAUUCCGUUCAUGAGAUCAUAUAUAUAUACAUGCAUUAAUAAUUCCAGAAAUUGCCUUCUUUGUUUAAAACAUAUGUGAGUACUAGUCUACAUGUUUACAUCAAUCUUCUCACAUAUACCUAGUAUAGGGAGUGUAGUCAGAAAAUCUGUGUGAAAAUAGAGAGUAAAUCCGGAGAGGAAUUGAGUGAAUUCUCUAAGGCAUGUUACUACAAUCAAAAUGUUGUUUUAAUUGAUUAAAUGAGAGCUAGUAAGUGGUUACUAUGAUUAAGUGUGUGCUCGAGGGUAAAGAUUACUAAAAUCUAUGUAAGUGGUGAUCUUUGGCAUGUCAUGUUUCAUUGGAAAUCCCUGAGGCAAAUGUUUGAAGGUCUAGGUUAUGUUUUGUUUGUUUUGUUUGGCUCGAGAACUAGCAAAAGCUAAGUGUGGGGGAAUUUGAUAGGCGCAUAUUUAUGCGACUUAGUUAGCUUGUUUUCUUGCAUUUAUGUUAUUAGUUCAUAGUUAUUUUAGUAUUUUAAGCUAUUUUCAUGUGUUUGUAGGUCCAAAUGGCUAAAGUAGCAAGAAAGUGCAUUUUGGUGCAUUGUGGAGCAGUUUUGGGCUUGGAAUGAUA
rnacentral:lncRNA from 1 species